AAUGCAGGGUUCAUACCUGUAGAUCUUUGUUUUCCUCACCUAUGAAUAAUGUUUGACAAGGGAAUGAGCAAAUAUGGAGACCACUGAAGAUCUUUGACUUGGAACUAAUCGGUUCAGAAGUAGCAUGAAAGAUGGUGACAUAAAAACCAGGCUGGGUUGUUCUUCACAAAGUCAUAGGAGUGGAGAGCACUCACUGUAAUGCAAGAAGGAUGAUGAACAAGCAGAAGGAGCUGUAAAUCUUAAUGCAAGUUCUUAGUUACCCAUAUCUGUUGCAAAUAAAAUAUAUUUCAGAGAGAGCUUGUUCAGCAAGUGCUUUGAAUGUAUUUCUGAUGGACUUUGGUAAAGUUAAUUAAGUUUAAGAAAAAACAAGAGUAUCUUCUCUAAGUGCAUUUUUGAAAUGGAAGAAGGAGAAGACUUGACCUUCAGCAAGGAAGUUUCAAUUUGAGCUGCAGAGACUCUGUCAUUUGGGCUGACUUCAUUGUCAAAUAUUCAUCAGGAAUGUCAGGAAUGUCUUGGGCAGGGAGAUGGGUGGACCAGGCUUCAAAAUGGAAUUAGUCUGCAAGAACAUGGUAGAAAGGCAAAAUAUAAUUGCUGAAGAGAGAAAUUGGCAAGGAGUUAAGACUUGUCUAUCAUUUGUCAUCUAUCAGUUGCAGAGGAGGAAUAAAUGACUCUUGUUAGACUCUGAGAUGGUUUGUAUUAAGACAGAGUUUAUUGUGUUUAAUGGCAUUUGAACCUUCCAUAAGACCAUAUGUUUCAGCCUUGUGUACUCUGUUUUAGAAAACAGUUGCAGAUGGAAUUUCCUAGAAAUAAAUGAUGCUGUGGGUUGAUUGAUACA
rnacentral:lncRNA from 1 species